rnacentral:rRNA from 1 species
CGGGAGGCAGCAGUAGGGAAUCUUCCGCAAUGGACGAAAGUCUGACGGAGCAACGCCGCGUGAGUGACGAAGGCUUUCGGGUCGUAAAACUCUGUUGUUAGGGAAGAACAAGUGCUAGUUGAAUAAGCUGGCACCUUGACGGUACCUAACCAGAAAGCCACGGCUAACUACGUGCCAGCAGCCGCGGUAAUACGUAGGUGGCAAGCGUUAUCCGGAAUUAUUGGGCGUAAAGCGCGCGCAGGUGGUUUCUUAAGUCUGAUGUGAAAGCCCACGGCUCAACCGUGGAGGGUCAUUGGAAACUGGGAGACUUGAGUGCAGAAGAGGAAAGUGGAAUUCCAUGUGUAGCGGUGAAAUGCGUAGAGAUAUGGAGGAACACCAGUGGCGAAGGCGACUUUCUGGUCUGUAACUGACACUGAGGCGCGAAAGCGUGGGGAGCAAACAGGAUUAGAUACCCUGGUAGUCCACGCCGUAAACGAUGAGUGCUAAGUGUUAGAGGGUUUCCGCCCUUUAGUGCUGAAGUUAGCGCAUUAAGCACUCCGCCUGGGGAGUACGGCCGCAAGGCUGAAACUCAAAUGAAUUG